GGGGCAGAAGCUACAUUAGCAAUUAGUUGUUACCUAAUCUAUAGUGAUCUAAUUCACCUACCCUA
rnacentral:tRNA from 1 species